AGGGUUUGCUUAGGGCAGGGGGGGUUGAAGAGUGGCUCCUCUGUUUACAAUACAACAAACAGGAAUCUGGGGUCAUUGUGACAAGGGGCACAAAACUUGUGUCCUCCCUACAUGUGAAAAAAAAAGA